rnacentral:lncRNA from 1 species
CUUGCUUCCCCUUCACCCUUCUGCCAUGAUUGUAAGUUUCCUGAGGCUUCCCCUGCCAUGCCGCCUGUACAGCCUGUGGAACUUCAGGACCUGGGAGAGAAAAAGCUACCAGCAACAUUCAGACUGAGAGAGGCCAAAAUACUAAUUCAUAAUUAGCCUGGUACAUAUGAAGGAUCAAAAAGAACAGGACUGUAUGUCUGAUCUCUGACAGGCCCUAGCACCAUAGUAGAGACUCAGUAUGUAUACUUAAUGAAGGAAUAAUGAAUACAUCAGCAAGAGAAAUAAGAGUGACCAUAUGUUCCUUAAAAGAAGCAAAGAGCAGCUCCUGUUCCUGCCAGCUGGAAUGAGUCUCCAUUCCUUGCAACAGAAGUGUCCUAAGUUAUAGCCAGAGGAUGGGGGCACAUUGACAAAACAUAAAGUGGAUAUGAUAAUAACAAGGUACCAUUCCAGCAAGAACAUCUGAAGAAAGAAGCAGUGCCUCAGUAUUGUUUAUCUUUCCUUCAUCUAUUCUGAAACUAAAAUCCUUAACCAAAUUUAUUUCCAAAGUUUAACCCUUUAAUAAACUGGCCUCUGACUCCACCUGGUGGAGAUACAUAAAUCUAUGAAAAUAAACCAACCCAAAUGAAGAUUUUAAA